rnacentral:rRNA from 1 species
CUACGUGCCAGCAGCCGCGGUAAUACGUAGGUGGCAAGCGUUGUCCGGAAUUAUUGGGCGUAAAGCGCGCGCAGGUGGUUUAAUAAGUCUGAUGUGAAAGCCCACGGCUCGACCGUGGAGGGUCAUUGGAAACUGUUAAACUUGAGUGCAGGAGAGAAAAGUGGAAUUCCUAGUGUAGCGGUGAAAUGCGUAGAGAUUAGGAGGAACACCAGUGGCGAAGGCGGCUUUUUGGCCUGUAACUGACGCUGAGGCGCGAAAGCCAGGGGAGCGAACGGGAUUAGAUACCCCGGUAGUCCUGGCCGUAAACGAUGGGUACUAGGUGUAGGAGGUAUCGACCCCUUCUGUGCCGGAGUUAACGCAAUAAGUACCCCGCCUGGGGAGUACGACCGCAAGGUUGAAACUCAAAGGAAUUGACGGGGGCCCGCACAAGCGGUGGAGUAUGUGGUUUAAUUCGACGCAACGCGAAGAACCUUACCAGGUCUUGACAU